GCCUGGAUGGCUCCGUGGGUAGAGCAUGUGACUCUUGAUCUCAGGGUUGUGAGUUUGAACCCCACAUUGGGUG
rnacentral:tRNA from 1 species